UUCGUGGCGAGUGGUUUUUCGGCUGCUGCGGCCAGGCUGUAAACCCCGCGGCAGCCUUCUGGAGGGGUUAGCGGAGCUGGCUCUGCUGGCCAUGAGGGCACGGCACCCAGGAUGUGCAUUGAGCUCCUGUCCCGACGGCGGCCUCAGGUCAGAGCGCUGAAGACCUGAGAGCGCCGCCGCGUGUUUGUGUUGAGCUUUCUAAAAGUAAAAAGGGUCCCGGCUGCAAUUAUCCCUAGUCCUUGUGUUGUGCUGCUAACCCUGGCUCUUGACUGGCAGCUGCACGUGGGCUCCGGGGACACAAAGUGCAGUUUGAGGUUUUUAUUCCUUGGACCCUUGUUGUUAACUUUGAAAAGGGGAGGGAGCGCUUACUAUAUAAUCUAACUGGUAAGUGACAGUCUUUCCUUACCAGGCAGGCCAGGCUUCUCUGCCCUCUUCUCAACUAGGCCUCAACCUUGGCCUAUAAAGACUUGAACAAACACUAACAUGGUUUUUAACAUCCAGCCCACAUCCCUAGGGUGACCCCAGCCCCACUUUAAGUGCCUGCCUGAGAAAGCUCAAGGCUGUCAAAAGAAUUUAGCAUUUGUUCUGCCCUGCCGGCGGCAGCGUCAUAAAUUCCGGUUAGCAAUCCCAGGUGCAUCUCCAGUUUUCCUUCCCAAUUUUUUUUUUUUUUCACCCCCUGACUCUACUGAGCCACUACUCACAUACACCCCCAUUUCCUGCCCAGACGCUUCUGUACAAAUCCAGGAUGGUAACUCCAUUGUGAAUUCCCACCAGCAGUGCAUGAGCGUUCCUAAAUCCCGAUGUUCUCUCUACACUUACUGGCCACUCAAACAGUAAACAAGAAAUAUUGCCUAUUCAGUAAGUGGAUUUCCAUGUAUGAAAGAAGUUGGUCAACUGACUGCUUGCUGCUUCCUUGGUAUUCAGAGAUGAGGCCAUCUGAGCACCCUGAGUAAUAUUUUCCAUCAAUAGGAUGGCCUGAGGAUACAGAGAUGGGUGAUAAUCUCUUAUAGACCCUCACUUUCAUCCUGAAAUAAAGACUGGAGUAUCAUUGAGAACUUGAGCAUUUGAUGUGAAGCUCAGGAAACAGCAGCCACUUCUGAUUUUUCUCUCUUUACUUGGGGAUGGCUGGGAAGAAAGAAGAAGCCAAGUUUAUUUGCGGGACCAAAUUUCUUUUCAAACUUCUCCUCAGUUGGACCUGUGAAAUAAAGAACAGGUACCUUGGGAGAAGAAAGAGACUUGAAAAACUUAAAAUCACGUUCCACUUCAAAGGCCUUAGGAGGUGUACGUUUGAAGAGCAAAGACAUUGAGCUCAUUUUUUGCCAUCUGCGUAUAAAGAUACACACACACACACAAAUGGUUAAGGACAUACAUGCCUUUUAUUUUCUGCCUACUCAGCAAGUAUCCAUCAUGUCCUUCUUUGUCUGGGCCUCCAAAUUCUCUGGCUCCCAUGGCACCAGUCCUAAUGAGAUGACCUUUGCACUUAACUCUUAUUCCACUUGGCUUCCCAGAUUUCCCUCCAAAGAAACCACAGAGAUUCUACUAAACCUGAACAUUCCAUGUAGUUAAAUUCAUUAAUAGCCAUUGGGGGAGAAAAAACUGUGUAGUAAGGAUGAGGAAAUCUCUGGUAUAAAACAAAUGUUUGAUUUUUUUGUGACUCAGAUCAGCUUUCACUAUAGUUAAAACUUACUUAUGGUAUAUAUUAAAAGUCAUAACUAAGUAUUAAAAACAUUUUUUAAAGAUAAUAAAUAGUAUGUUCUAAAAUGGAGUACUUCUACAGAAUAAGGCCUGAUUUGCUACAGACAAGACAUAAUUAUUUACUUAUAACAAAAUGUGAACAUGACUCUAUUUUAAGCUAUCCCAAAUAUAUCAUACUGUUUCAUACUUCUGUAUCUAUCAUUAUAUCUCUUGCCUCUGGUUGUAAUGUUCUCUAUUAGUCAUUCUUUAUUUGUUCCAUAAUAUCUUUUGAGUGCCUAAUUUGUCUUUGGCACUGAGCUAAGAACUGGAUAUAUAAAGAUGUAUAAAACAUGGUCCUUGUCCUCAAGGAACUCAGAGAAUAGUGAUGUAGAUGCAUAUUAACAAAUUAGAAUAUAAUGUUUUAAGUACUAAGAUACAUGGAUGCUCAAGUCUCAGCAAUUACCUGAGGAGAUUGAUCAGCUUUGCUUGGUGAACUUUAUCAUAUCCUGAUGAGUCUUGGCUCUGCUACACCACCUUUUAUGUUUUAGCCAGACUUCUUCCCCAGUGCUCCUUACUGCUCAGCCAAGGGAAGACUUGAACACUUCAAUGUGAUUUUGGCAGUCAUUUGGAACUCCUGUUAACUGUUCCCAAACUGUUCCUGUUUUGAACCACAUUCUGUGUGGCUUAUGAUUCUUAGCUUCAAUUCCUAUUUACAGCCAUUCUACCAACUUUUGGACUAGAUGAUGGCAUUGUGUCUCCCCAGCUUUGACUCACUCAGGAUUUCCCUAAAAGACUUUGUCUUAGUCCACUCUGAUUCUUCCCACUUUGGACUCAUCUUGUCAGCUAUUCCAGUUCUGGUCUGCUGGAUAUUACCAGUCUAGGCAGUCCGGUCCUGUGAGGGCUAGACAUUUAGACAUCUGCCAUCUAGGGCUGAGUUUUGCUGAUGUUAAAAGCUCAGAAGACCACCAGUCUCUUCCAUUAUAACAAAUAUUCAGCCAUGGUCAAAACUGGGACUGAGCUUUGCAAAAACAUAAAACAGUAUUUUACCAAUAUUUUAUUCUUUUCUGGGGGACUAUCCUCCGUCUCUUACAGCUUUAAGCAUGUUCAAAUCUUCCCCACAAACAAACUCAGGAAACUUGUCUUCAACCUUACAGCUAUUUGACUUCCUUGCAAAGUAACCUAUACUGUCAUCACCUGACAUCUCUUAUUUAUUUCUCAGCUAUGAUGAUGUGAUUUUUACCCAUCACUUUUUGAAAUUUCACUCUCUGGAAUCAUCAGUGACCUUUCAGCUGACAGACAUGCCAAAUCCAGUGUUUACUUUUCUAUUGUCCUAUGUGAUUUCACUGUCGCAUUCUACGAAUAUAUCCUCUCUACCGCUUUUCUUACUCUCUCCUCCUUUGAUUUUCAUCACAUCACUUGUUUAUAACUUCCCUUUCAACAUGUUGGCUAUUCCUUCUUAAUGUUUUUCACUGGUUUCUUUUCUUUGGCCUGCUCUUUUACAGGCUAUUUUUUGAUUUCUUCCUCAGUUUUCUAUCUUUUCUCACUCUAUACACAGGACCUAAGUGACUUAUCCACAUUGAAAAUACUACUAUGCUGAUGACACCAAAGUCUUUACCUAUAGGUCUUUUGGGAGCUCCAGACAGAUUAAAUAUAUCCACUUGGAAGUCCCGCAAACAUCUCAGACUUAAACCUGUCCAAAACCAAACUCAACAUCUUUUUCUUCAGACCUGCUUUUCCCCUUAUGUAUUCUGUCACAGUGAUUUCUAUAAAGUUAAAAAUCCUUGUGUUGACCCAUAAAAGUCUUAUUGUGCUUUGGCCCCAACAGAUUUUUCUUGCUUUAUUUCCUAGCAUAUCCUCCCUACUUGCUCCCUGGACUCCAAGCCUUGAAAGACUACAACAUAAUCUUUCACUAUUUAGUGCCUUUGCUUAGGCAAUUGCCUCUUUGGUCUUUCUUCAAUUAAAUCCUAUCUGCCCCUCUGUGAUUAUUUUAAGAACUGAUGUUCCUAGAGGUAUUACUAUACCAAAUUAUAGCUUUUGCUUACUUACUUCUCCCUUCCACUUAAUUGCAAAAUUAUUGAAAAGUUCUGGGCUUUUCACCUUUGAAUUCUCCAUGUUCAGCAGUGUCACAGUAUCAUAUAGUUUAAUUUCAUCUGCUCAUCUAAAGAAAACCAAAUGUUCUUACUUUUGCCGGUCAAAUACCAGAGGAUAUUCAUAUUUUUGUUUCUUCUCUGUGAACUUGCUUUCUUCUUUUAUUUCUAUGGGAUAUUCAUUAACAUCACACGGCAAAAUAAAAUAACUUGUCUGUGAUAUCUCAAAGAUUCUUCGCUGUCCAAAAUAACCGCAGUAAUGACCAUUGAGGGCAUGCCAGAGCCUGGGGAAAGGCAAAGGUAGGGAGAAGAAAGUAACUGGAACUCAGUGAAAGUUAUUCCAUUUAUUACUUCAUUUAUGUAGAUUUUCACUGGCCCAACAGGGAUUUUAAACUCGAGUCCAGGACUCUUCCUAUUAAAUAUAUGGCACUAAUCAUAACAUAAACAUUUUUAUCAGUUAGAAUUAUAAUCUACAACAAUUUUGUGUAUGUCAAUUUAAAUCUAUAGUUAAUGAUAACCGUUCCAGAAGACAGGAAAUAGAUUUUUCCCAAAAUAAAACGCUCUCAUGUUGACUUGUCAGUUGAAUUAGGCUGUAGAAUGAGCCAUAUCUCAGCUGUCUACUUUCUGUAUCAGCAUCAGUAGAACUUAUGGGAGGAGAUAGCUACUAAUGGUUUUACUCUUACCAAAAUCAUCUCAACCUCCAUCCACAUUUCCUGCUAUUGUGGAAAUACCAUACGAUCUUUUACAACUGAGUUCUGCAAUAAAGUGGCAAAAGAAGUGUUUCUUUAUCCAAAUGUAUUAUUUCACCCCAAGACGUCCUUCUAAAAUUUUUUUAUAUCCUUCUAUGGUUUAAAGUCAUACAGAACGUCAUUAGCAGGAGUAUGUGCUAAUAUGUAAAUAAAACACAAAUAAAAUAACGUUUGGCAGA